UUCACCUUGCCAAGGGCUUGGCACGGACCAGGACAAAAUUAGCAUGCAAACUGGCGGACAUGGCUCAACUAAAAUGACUGCCACACCAUUGCGAAGAGCUGAUGGGAGAACUUGGGACUAAUUGAAUGGAGAAGACAGAGCACCUGGGUCCAGAUGCAAAGAAAAAAAGUUUGUUGGAGUGAGCUCCUUUCGGGGAACCACCUCAACUGUGCCAUGAGGAGACUCACAUAGGAUGCUGCUGAUUCUGAACAUGAAGAGGAACUUCCGGGAGUAUCAGGAAUGGCUGCCCUAAAGAAGCUGGUUUGGCUGGGCCUUGACAACAGGGGUAGAUGGAUU